AGUGAACGCUGGCGGUAGGCCUAACACAUGCAAGUCGAACGGCAGCACAGUAAGAGCUUGCUCUUACGGGUGGCGAGUGGCGGACGGGUGAGGAAUACAUCGGAAUCUACUUUUUCGUGGGGGAUAACGUAGGGAAACUUACGCUAAUACCGCAUACGACCUACGGGUGAAAGCAGGGGAUCUUCGGACCUUGCGCGAUUGAAUGAGCCGCUGUCGGAUUAGCUAGUUGGCGGGGUAAAGGCCCACCAAGGCGACGAUCCGUAGCUGGUCUGAGAGGAUGAUCGGCCACACUGGAACGGAGACACGGUCCAGACUCCUACGGGAGGCAGCAGUGGGGAAUAUUGGACAAUGGGCGCAAGCCUGAUCCAGCCAUACCGCGUGGGUGAAGAAGGCCCUCGGGUUGUAAAGCCCUUUUGUUGGGAAAGAAAAGCAGCAGGUUAAUACCCCGCUGUUCUGACGGUACCCAAAGAAUAAGCACCGGCUAACUUCGUG
rnacentral:rRNA from 1 species